rnacentral:rRNA from 1 species
CCUGCUUUUGUGGGGUGCUCGAGUGGCGAACGGGUGAGUAACACGUGAGUAACCUGCCCUUGACUUUGGGAUAACUUCAGGAAACUGGGGCUAAUACCGGAUAGGAGCUCCUGCUGCAUGGUGGGGGUUGGAAAGUUUCGGCGGUUGGGGAUGGACUCGCGGCUUAUCAGCUUGUUGGUGGGGUAGUGGCUUACCAAGGCUUUGACGGGUAGCCGGCCUGAGAGGGUGACCGGCCACAUUGGGACUGAGAUACGGCCCAGACUCCUACGGGAGGCAGCAGUGGGGAAUAUUGCACAAUGGGCGGAAGCCUGAUGCAGCAACGCCGCGUGCGGGAUGACGGCCUUCGGGUUGUAAACCGCUUUCGCCUGUGACGAAGCGUGAGUGACGGUAAUGGGUAAAGAAGCACCGGCUAACUACGUGCCAGCAGCCGCGGUGAUACGUAGGGUGCGAGCGUUGUCCGGAUUUAUUGGGCGUAAAGGGCUCGUAGGUGGUUGAUCGCGUCGGAAGUGUAAUCUUGGGGCUUAACCCUGAGCGUGCUUUCGAUACGGGUUGACUUGAGGAAGGUAGGGGAGAAUGGAAUUCCUGGUGGAGCGGUGGAAUGCGCAGAUAUCAGGAGGAACACCAGUGGCGAAGGCGGUUCUCUGGGCCUUUCCUGACGCUGAGGAGCGAAAGCGUGGGGAGCGAACAGGCUUAGAUACCCUGGUAGUCCAUGCUGUAAACGGUGGGUACUAGGUGUGGGGUCCAUUCCACGGGUU